UACGAAGGGGGCGAGCGUUGUUCGGAUUUACUGGGCGUAAAGAGCGCGCAGGCGGUCGUUCAAGUCGAGUGUGAAAGCCCCCGGCUCAACUGGGGAGGGUCACUCGAUACUGAUCGACUUGAAGGCAGGAGAGGGAAGCGGAAUUCCCGGUGUAGUGGUGAAAUGCGUAGAUAUCGGGAGGAACACCAGUGGCGAAGGCGGCUUCCUGGCCUGUUCUUGACGCUGAGGCGCGAAAGCUAGGGGAGCAAACGGG
rnacentral:rRNA from 1 species